GAUAAUUUAUAUCUGCAUAUAGUUAUUUUUAGAUCCCUUUGAAAAGCUACGGUUUCCACUAAGCCAUGCUGAGUACCAAAAACUGUCACUUGGUCUCUUGUGGGAGAUAAAAAAAAACUUCGUAAAUUGUAAAAGGAUAACCAUGCAAUAAAAAUGAUGGCAACGAUGGAAGAUUUUAAUGCCUUUGAAAGAGAGUUGUUAGACGAACAGAAACGUUCAAUCAUGAGAAAAUCUUUACGUCAAGUCUGUGGUUUGGAUGCGAAAGACCAAGUAAAAAUGAUACUGGAAAGACUGUUUACCGUUGGACUUCUGUCCUAAUUUAACUUAGUGGGGACAAAAAGAAAGGACCGCGGUGGAAAUAAGAGGGGGUUGAAAGGAUCAGCCAUUUUUGAAUUAAUAGUCGAAGUCGCAGCCAGCUCGUAUAAAAAGACUUCUCGACGAGAAAUAGUUAAUUUUAUUCAGAGAAAGCUGAAGAACGCCCCUAAUCAAAUCGGGAGGUUGCGUAGGCAACAACGCCAAGAAACAGAGGAGAAAGCUCAAGAAACAGAGGAAAAAGAGGAAGGUGAAAAUAAUGUAAUAUUUGGAGAUGAAUCUGCUGA
rnacentral:lncRNA from 1 species